UAGUAUGAAGGCCUCGGGUUCAAUCCCCAGUAGGGGAAAAAGCUGUGUGAUCUCACGUUGGCUUGUCUGGCUCCUCCGAGCACAGGGGCCUGAUGAGGCUGCCUCGCUCCCUAGUCCGCUGGGCUCGCGAGUCUGGCGGGUCGCAUCUGCUCUCCAGCCCAGCCCGCCAGUCUUAACUCGCCUGUGCUCCCGCCCAGACGCCCUCUCAGGGCCUCCUCAAGGGGGGACAGUGCUCCCAGUUGGGGCGGGGGGGGUGCUGUGGUGUGCACACUACACCCAUUUCCUUGGGAUCAGCGAGUUCCUCGCCAGUCUCUGGCGUGCACUCAGGCUACAUUGUUACGACUGCCCCCUGUGUGGAGGGCACCUCGCGAAGGUCUGACUCCGGAGUGGCUGCACCCUGCCGGGAUUCGCCUCUGAGACCAAGGCCACGCUCUCCAGGAAGCCUGGCUUCUGUGCUCACUCAGACGCCUCAGGACCUUGCUGGGAGCAGAGCGAUCAGCAACCUGCCAGGUGGUAGACUGGAAGCUGUAGAUGGCUGCAGCUGCUGCCUAACGUCAGAAGAGUAUGGCAUGGCACAUCUAUAACCAAGAAGAGGUCCAAAUUCAGGUCACAGUCUCUCCUGGCUGCAUACUGUAUCAUUGUAAAGUCAAAAUAUUUUACCAAGACGCCUCAGAAGCCAGCAGCUGCUUUGCAUCCCAAGAUCAACAUACACGAGUGCCUGGAGACCCCGGGUGAUCAAGGCCAGGGGGAAGUGUUGGAAGCUGACUCGGCUGCACAUGUCAUUGCCUCAUGGACCCAGCGCCUGAAGCUAGUCUGUCACAUAAUCAACCUCGGCUUGUCGGGGCUCUGAGCUCUGCCUCAGCCUGCAAGCUGUGUACACAGAAAGGACUUAAAAAGAUUUAUUCUAAACCAGCGCAGGAGAGGUUGGAAGGAGCUGCCAUGGAGGGAAGAAAGGAGAGACUACCAGAUGAUUUAUUCCUGUAAUAGCAUUGCAACAAACCAAAAGAAAAGUGGAUGAAGAUUUUAAUAAGCAAUGAAGGGUCAGACCGGAAGGCAUAUGUGAGGAAGAACCCUGCAGUCGUUGCCAGAGGAACAUCCACUCAUUCUGCCAGCCUUGCCAAUCCAGCUGAGGGUACAAGGCCACAGCAACCCGAGACUAGGACCCACUACACAGACCACAGUCAGUAGAGAAGAAGUGCCAAGGGAUGGGCUUGAGCUGGGAAGAGGACAAUGGAAUCGUGUCUGUGAAACCUUCCAAGAAACAAAUUCAAAUUGCUAGUGAUAGGUGACUGAAGUUCAGCCAAGUCUGCUCAACUGUGGUUAUAAUAAAGGCAUGGGAUUGAUGUUCAGAAUCUAGGUUGGCUAUAUUUGAUUAAGCAAUUGAAGAGUUAGCCUUGUGCUCUUGGUUUUUGGUUGCCAACUCAUAGAACCAAAGGCACCCACCAAAGGAAAGAAAAACAUGAUAGGUGAAGCCACUUCUCUAGCCUUCACUUUGAGAUAUUUAACUUGCUAUACCACACCCUCUUUCCUAAUGGAGAUGAGCCCUAAAAACUCUCAAGGGCAAGAAGAAGCCACAUCAACAAAAAAAUGUCUGGUAAAUGAAUUUGGAGAGCUAAAUGUAGAAAUCACCUCAUAUUGCUACAAGUGGUUCCACCCACCAAUCUCUAAUGAUCUUUCCUUCACUUUUUUUUAUAACAACCUUCAUUCUUCAAAUGAAAGAAGUCCAUUUAUAAGAAGCAGCUCUCGGGGCCUUAAAUUACAGGUUGAGAUGUUACCAAAAUCUGGCACUAUUUUCCAAUUAUUAAUAUGUUAGUCGGAUUUUACCAAGGUAUUCAAAAAUUACUAUCUGGAUACCAUGUCAUAUGCUACAUACAAACAAACUACAGUGACUUUUGUUAUAGUUCUAUGACAUUUCUCAGCAUAUCAAUGUCUCUAAUCAUUUGUAAAUCUCAGAAAUUUCAACUUAUGUAUUCAGAAAUAAUUUCUUUACUGCCUCUGUAAAACCUUCAGUUGUUUUCAGAGAAGAGUUAUGGCUAAUUAUUGUAGAAAAGACCAACAUUUCUUUACAAUGUUUGAUAAUAGUUGUUUUGUAAACCUGAAAAUAUCUUAGAGAUUAUAAUUUUCCUUUAAAAGUG